UUUUCUUUUUUGAGGGGCAUGGCGAUGUGGGCCGGCCCAUGAGCUAAACACAAACAAACGGGGAAAAGAUAGCACUCGGGGAUCGACAGGGCGGAGAGCGUAGGUGGAGAGGAGGGCAGAUCGACGCAGACCGGGUGGCGCGGCUGCGGCUCGAUCUGAGGAGCAUGAGAAACAACAGAGAAGAGAACAGAGGCAAGGCAAGCGCUCAGAUGGACUGGCGGCUCUUCUGAAAUUUGUGAGAGUGGCGGACGAUAUCUCAUUGGAAGCUACAACUUUCUGGUUUGGACACCAAAAUAAUUAACGAAACAGGGCUACAGCGUUGCUCUUCCUGAAAAGUUGCAAACUGGAAAGUAGAACAUGUACCGUAUUCGCAGAUCUGCAGAGUCACCUCUGUGCUUUGUCAACAGAUUUCCUGGCACCUUAGACAUUGGAGCGCUGCAUGAUAAUUUUGAGUUUGUAUAUUCACAAUCACUUGAACAUGUGAACUUCCAUUUCUUUGAAAGAUGGAAUUUUCUGGACAAUAAUUGAAAGGCAGAGUUUAGCAGAGCAAUUGUCAGUUCUUUGUAUACUGAGAAAGCUCUCACACAGUCGAGCAAUUUGAUCUUUAUGAUGCCAAGAGAACCUACAGAUCAGUAGAUCAUUCUCACAGAGGAUCUGCUUCAGAGUACAUCGAUAGAGGUAACACCCCGGCCAGAAAACCUUUUCAUGUUUGCUACAGUGCAUUCUACUCCUCACUGCUGGCAGUGGAAUGGAGCAAAACACUAUGUUGUGAGGUGAGCAAAACACAGAGUGCUGUGCAUAUUCAUGAAUAAUAAGAACACUAUAGCAACGUGUAGAAACAUGAACUGAAUUAGUAUUUUUAUGUGAAUUUAUAGAUGUUGUUGGCCUAAUUACUGCAGUUGCUGAGAUCGCACCACCAUAAUCUAAACUAACAACAGAGACGGCAAAUUUACAUCACCGCCCGUCGAAAAAAAUAUUACGUCACUGGUGGAAGGUAAAAUUCCAUGGAAGCAUCAUUCGAGCCACCUUUCAGAAAACACAAGAAGAUGCAUUGUCUCACACCUAACAAACGGACUACUUACUGCAUUUAUUCUCAUUAGCAUCUGCAAAUGUAUGUGGUUUACGAUGUCUCAUUUCAAUUGGGAUGUUAAUAUUUGGUAUACACCAGGAGGUGUAUUAUUACGCUAAGAUAAACAACGGCCUACUAAUUCUAAAUAUGGUAUAUUUUUAAUUAAAAAAUGGAUUUGAUGUGUAAUCUACUAUUUAAUUGUUUUAGCUAGAAUCCGUUCUAAUGCAGGGUCUUUGAUUUGUUUUUAUUCCUUAUUCAGGACAUAUUUGUAAGCAUGUUGCUCCUGACUUUGA